GGUAAAAGCAGUAGUCAGGGGCAGAGUCGUCGACAUUGGGCCCUUCUUCUCCAAAGGAUCUUGGCUUUGAUUUGAAAAGAAUCACCAUUUUUUUUCCUCCAUAAAUGGGUUUUGACCUCUGAGUUUAUUCUUCUUAGAUUUUAACUUCACCCAGACGGGGCAUCUUUUCUAUCAACAGCGGCAAUGGUUGCUCGAUAUCAACAUGCACGGUGUCGGAACUAGUGUUGGUGCCGAUGCCUGAUAAGAGAACUGAGCGGCUAAUCUGGGACAUGACAUAGGAGAGGUUGGAAAGCUUGUCGGCAAUGGAUCCCACCGGAGUUCACUUUCUCUGACUGGAUCUAAUAAAAAGAAAUGGCUUUUCGGACAAGAAGAGAGAGAAAGAGAGAGAAGAAAGAUGUAGUAACGGUGGAUUGAAAAUUUGUAUAUCUUCUCUUCAUCCAACCGUUUAAUUCAAAUUGAUCAAAUCUUAUGGUCAAAAUCCCACUAGCAUUCUUAAUUCAUAGGUAUUACGCUAGCAUAUUUAUC